rnacentral:misc_RNA from 1 species
UGCAACAGACUGACAGAGUUAACUGAGUUCUUGCCUUACCUGAGAGUUUUGAAGAUCAAAAGAUGUGCUUCAUUGAAAGCUCUUCCCGUGACCCCAUCUCUGAUUUUUCUGACACUUGUUGACAAUCUUGUUCUCGAGGAUUGGCAAGAAAAAGUACUGCAAUUAAUCUCCAGAAAUGAUCAAGGAGAGAAUGUCAGCCAAAUCCAUCAUUCUUUCAUGGGUCUUCUGGAGAUGAAAGUCAUUGACUGCCCCAAGCUGGAAGCACUUCCCCGAGUCUUUGCUCCACAGAAACUAGAGAUAAGUGGAUGUGAACUGUUGACUGCCCUCCCGCCGACAGGGUUUUCACAGCGUCUUCAGCAUUUAGCACUAGACAGAAGCAAUAAUAGAAUUUUACUGAGGAAAAUACCUGAAACGAGCUCUCUUUACUCCCUGGUCAUUUCCAAUAUGGCAAAUGUAGUAUCUUUACCGAAAUUGCCUCAUCUUCCAGGGCUCAAGGCUUUGCACAUCCAUAAUUGUGACGAUCUUGAGUCUUUAUCUGAAGAAGAAGAAUCAUUUCGAAGCUUAACAUCGCUCAGGUUAUUAUCCAUUCAAGGCUGUCAAAAACUUUUGACAUUGCCAAAUGAAGGGCUACCAACUCUCCUAGAGUGUUUGAGUGUUAGCUCUUGCCGCAAAUUGCAGUCUCUAGGCAGCAAGGAGACUUUGAAGAGCCUUACCUCGCUCAAAGACCUUUACAUUGAGGACUGUCCUCUGCUGCGGUCCUUUCCUGAGGAUGGCCUUCCUACUUCUCUCCGACAUUUGUACAUCGAAAAAUGUCCGGAGCUGACUGAGCAAUGCAAAAAGGAAGGAGGACCAGAAUGGUCAAAGAUCAUGGACAUCCAUGACCUGGAAAUUGAUUUCAUAGAGGAGUCUUCAACCCCAAAAUUGCCAAAGAAGAAACCUUGGUAUCGUCAUGUUUUCUGUGGGAAAGGAACUGAAGACUUGAAAGGAGAUGGAUCCAAAACACAUACUGUGUAAAGCAUCGCAAAGUGAUCAAGCAGCUUAUUUCUGGGUUGGAAGUGAAAACCGAAAUCUUUGCAAGGAUACAAUUAAUAUUUAUAUCUUCCAAUAAGUGUCACUGGAUGGUUUUAGAAGAAAUUGAUUUUCCUGCUAUUUUA